rnacentral:rRNA from 1 species
AAGCGCGGGUAAGACCGUGUGGAGGACCGAACCCACCUAGGUUGAAAACUGGGGGGAUGACUUGGGGUUAGGGGUGAAAGGCCAAUCAAAUUCCGUGAUAGCUGGUUCUCUCCGAAAUGCAUUUAGGUGCAGCGUCAUGUUAUUGCUUACAGGGGGUAGAGCUACUGGAUGCUUGCGGGCCCAUACCGGGUACUAAUAGCAGCCAAACUCCGAAUACCUGUUAGGUUUAUCAUGGCAGUGAGUCGGCGGGGGAUAAGCUCCGUCGUCAAAAGGGAAACAG